CCUACGGGAGGCAGCAGUGAGGAAUAUUGGUCAAUGGACGAGAGUCUGAACCAGCCAAGUAGCGUGAAGGAUGACUGCCCUAUGGGUUGUAAACUUCUUUUAUAUGGGAAUAAAACGUUCCACGUGUGGGAUUUUGUAUGUACCAUAUGAAUAAGGAUCGGCUAACUCCGUGCCAGCAGCCGCGGUAAUACGGAGGAUCCGAGCGUUAUCCGGAUUUAUUGGGUUUAAAGGGAGCGUAGGUGGAUUGUUAAGUCAGUUGUGAAAGUUUGCGGCUCAACCGUAAAAUUGCAGUUGAAACUGGCAGUCUUGAGUACAGUAGAGGUGGGUGGAAUUCGUGGUGUAGCGGUGAAAUGCUUAGAUAUCACGAAGAACUCCGAUUGCGAAGGCAGUUCACUGGACUGCAACUGACACUGAGGCUCGAAAGUGUGGGUAUCAAACAGGAUUAGAUACCCGUGUAGUC
rnacentral:rRNA from 1 species